rnacentral:rRNA from 1 species
GACGAACGCUGGCGGCGUGCUUAACACAUGCAAGUCGAACGGAAAGGCCCCUUUGGGGGUACUCGAGUGGCGAACGGGUGAGUAACACGUGAGUAACCUGCCCUUGACUUCGGGAUAACUUCAGGAAACUGGGGCUAAUACCGGAUAGGAAUCCUUGCUGCAUGGUGGGGGUUGGAAAGCUUCGGCGGUUUUGGAUGGACUCGCGGCUUAUCAGCUUGUUGGUGGGGUAGUGGCUUACCAAGGCUUUGACGGGUAGCCGGCCUGAGAGGGCGACCGGCCACAUUGGGACUGAGAUACGGCCCAGACUCCUACGGGAGGCAGCAGUGGGGAAUAUUGCACAAUGGGCGGAAGCCUGAAGCAGCAACGCCGCGUGCGGGAUGACGGCCUUCGGGUUGUAAACCGCUUUUAGCAGGGGCGAAGCUUGUGGUGACGGUACCUGCAGAAGAAGCACCGGCUAACUACGUG